CCUACGGGUGGCUGCAGUGGGGAAUAUUGGGCAAUGGGCGCAAGCCUGACCCAGCAACGCCGCGUGAAGGAAGAAGGCUUUCGGGUUGUAAACUUCUUUUCUGAGGGACGAAGAAAGUGACGGUACCUCAGGAAUAAGCCACGGCUAACUACGUGCCAGCAGCCGCGGUAAUACGUAGGUGGCAAGCGUUAUCCGGAUUUAUUGGGUGUAAAGGGGGUGUAGGCGGGAAAGCAAGUCAGAUGUGAAAACUCGGGGCUCAACCCUGGGCCUGCAUUUGAAACUGUUUUUCUUGAGUGCAGGAGAGGUAAUCGGAAUUCCGUGUGUAGCGGUGAAAUGCGUAGAUAUACGGAGGAACACCAGUGGCGAAGGCGGAUUACUGGACAGUAACUGACGCUGAGGCGCGAAAGCGUGGGAAGCAAACAGGAUUAGAUACCCCAGUAGUC
rnacentral:rRNA from 1 species